CUGCAGCCCGAGUGGUGAUCGAUUUUAUUGAGCCUAAAGCGUCCGUAGCCGGACUAGUAAACCCUUGGGUAAAUUGGGCAGCUUAACUGUCCAAAUUCCGAGGGGACUGCUAGUCUUGGGACCGGGAGAGGUCAGAGGUACUCAAGGGGUAGGGGCUAAAUCCUGUAAUCCUUUGGGGACCACCAGUGGCGAAGGCGUCUGACUAGAACGGAUCCGACGGUGAGGGACGAAAGCCAGGGGAGCAAACCGGAUUAGAUACCCGAGUAGUCC
rnacentral:rRNA from 1 species